CCUACGGGAGGCAGCAGUGGGGAAUCUUGCGCAAUGGGCGAAAGCCUGACGCAGCCAUGCCGCGUGAAUGAUGAAGGUCUUAGGAUUGUAAAAUUCUUUCAGUAGGGACGAUAAUGACGGUACCUACAGAAGAAGCCCCGGCUAACUUCGUGCCAGCAGCCGCGGUAAUACGAAGGGGGCUAGCGUUGCUCGGAAUUACUGGGCGUAAAGGGAGCGUAGGCGGGUUAUCAAGUUGGAGGUGAAAGCCCAGGGCUCAACCUUGGAAUUGCCUUCAAAACUGAUAGCCUAGAGUAUGAUAGAGGUAUGUGGAACUCCGAGUGUAGAGGUGAAAUUCGUAGAUAUUCGGAAGAACACCAGUGGCGAAGGCGACAUACUGGGUCAUGACUGACGCUGAGGCUCGAAAGCGUGGGGAGCAAACAGGAUUAGAUACCCUGGUAGUCCACGCUGUAAACGAUGAUUGCUAGUUGUCGGACGGCAUGCCGUUCGGUGACGCNGCUACGCAUAAGACAUCCGCCGUCGGGAGGUACGGUCGGCGAGAAGUUAAAACGUUAAAACGGUAAAGUUAGUACGGCGUGAGACGUGCCGACGGACGACGACGAGGGAGGUUAGG
rnacentral:rRNA from 1 species